UCCGGUGUCGAUGCGUCUUCUUGAAACACCCGUUCCCAUCCCGAACACGACGGUUAAGAGGAAGACGGCCGAAGGUACUAUGCUGGUAACGGUAUGGGAGAAUAGGCGGGCGCCGGAU
rfam:Lachnospiraceae bacterium ACC2 genomic scaffold supercont1.2, whole genome shotgun sequence.